AGCAGCCGCGGUAAUUCCAACUCCAAUAGCGUAUACUAAAGUUGUUGCAGUUAAAAAGCUCGUAGUUGAAUUUCGGGGUUAGUAGGUUGGUCACGCCUCUGGUAUGUACUGGUCUCACUGAUUCCUCCUUCCUGAUGAGCCGUAAUGCCAUUAAUUUGGUGUUGCGGGGAAUUUGGACUGUUACUUUGAAAAAAUUGAGUGUUCAAAGCAAGCUAACGCUUGAAUACAUUAGCAUGGAAUAAUGAAAUAGGACGUUCGAUCCUAUUUUGUUGGUUUCUAGGAUUGACGUAAUGAUUAAUAGGGAUAGUUGGGGGCAUUAGUAUUCAAUUGUCAGAGGUGAAAUUCUUGGAUUUAUUGAAGACUAACUACUGCGAAAGCAUUUGCCAAGGAUGUUUUUCAUUAAUCUAAGAACGAAAGUUAGGGAUCGAAGACGAUCAGAUACCGUCGUAGUCUUAACCAUAACUAUGCCGACUAGGGAUCGGAUGAUGUUAAUUUUUANGUACUUCAUUCGGCGCCGUUA
rnacentral:rRNA from 1 species